GAUGAAGAACGUAGCGAAAUGCGAUAAGUAAUGUGAAUUGCAGAAUUCAGUGAAUCAUCGAAUCUUUGAACGCACAUUGCGCCCGCCAGCAUUCUGGCGGGCAUGCCUGUUCGAGCGUCAUUUCAACCCUCGAGCCCCCCCGGGGGCCUCGGUGUUGGGGGACGGCACACCAGCCGCCCCCGAAAUGCAGUGGCGACCCCGCCGCAGCCUCCCCUGCGUGGUAGCACACACCUCGCACCGGAGCGCGGAGGCGGUCACGCCGUAAAACGCCCAACUUUCUUAGAGUUGACCUCGGAUCAGGUAGGAAUACCCGCUGAACUUAAGCAUAUCAAUAAGCGGAGGA
rnacentral:misc_RNA from 1 species